AUUACCGACUAUAGUUUGUAGAUAAGUAGGAAAUCUACAUAGAUGGCGCGUCGCUUUGUGAGAGAGAAAACCUGUGUCGUUCGUUGUGACUUUUUUCACUUAUUAUUGCAAUAAUAAUUGUUAAUUAAUUAUAAAUUGUUGAUAAAUCGGUCAAUUAAAUUGUUCUGAACAGAUUGUGAUAUAAAUUAUUGUUGACUUUUGUGAAAUACGGCCAAAACUAAUGGACAUGUCAAUGGUGUUGGAGCUGACAAAGAAAAAUUUUAAUAUGUUGAAUAGUGGACAAAUGAUAACAAAAAGUGAGACUGAAACGUCUGAUGUGUUGAUGAAAUUUAUAAAACACAAUUAUUAACACUGGGACAAAAAAAAAAUAACUAAAUUGGUUUGUGGGUUUGUCAUUAGAGAGAAAAACAUUUUCUGGUAAAUUGGAUCAUUAAAUUUAUUCAUGGAAAAAGCAUUAGUCUUGCUAAAAUUUGUCAAAUAAAAUAUAAAAAAAACUUCAAUGCACUAUUUAAAAUACUUGAGACAACUGAGACUGUUUUUAUGUUAAAAUGUAACAUGAAAAAUACCAAGUGAAUGAUGUUAAUGUUGAAAGUGAGUCAUACGGAAAAUUAAUCCAAUUGUUUAUAGCGGUUCAAGCAUCAAGUUUAAAUGUAAUCCAACACCUUAUGAAUUAUCUGGUGUGAUUUUAUCUAUCUUUUACUGGACAAAAAUCAAUGACAUCACAUGGUGCAGAUAUUAUUGAC